GACGAACGCUGGCGGCGCGCCUAACACAUGCAAGUCGAACGAGCGAGAGAAAGCUUGCUUUCUCGAGCGAGUGGCGAACGGGUGAGUAACGCGUGAGGAACCUGCCUCAAAGAGGGGGACAACAGUUGGAAACGACUGCUAAUACCGCAUAAGCCCACAGGUCGGCAUCGACCAGAGGGAAAAGGAGCAAUCCGCUUUGAGAUGGCCUCGCGUCCGAUUAGCUAGUUGGUGAGGUAAUGGCCCACCAAGGCGACGAUCGGUAGCCGGACUGAGAGGUUGAACGGCCACAUUGGGACUGAGACACGGCCCAGACUCCUACGGGAGGCAGCAGUGGGGAAUAUUGCACAAUGGGGGAAACCCUGAUGCAGCGACGCCGCGUGGAGGAAGAAGGUCUUCGGAUUGUAAACUCCUGUUGU
rnacentral:rRNA from 1 species